AUGUUUCAACCUUAUUUUGCUGUUUCUGUGUAUUUUCAUUUAUUUAUUUAUUACGUGUUUUUUUAUAUGUGUUUAAGGACCUACAAAAAAAUACUUCACAAUACUUGUGGGUUUGACAGACGUGUUCACUGUCAUCCUCGUAGUCCUUGUAGUCCUGGUUAUUGUUACUGCAUUGAUUGUUUGGAAAAUAAAACGAAGUGGGUUAAUAAGAAUUUCAGACAGUAAUGAUAAUGAUGAGUCUUUAAAGGGUUUCCUCCAAUCAAGUCUCACAGAUUUUGGUGAGGUUAUCAGUCUUCAGGAUGUGGAGAUCAGAUGAUUUCCAGCAUGCAUGUGUGACCAAAACAUGUUAAAUCAAUAAAAGAUGCAUGAGUAUGGACGUCAUGGACCUGUUUUCCCAAACAAGAUGACCACAUGACCAAAGAAACACAGAAAAAGAACACCUUAUAUCAUCUGUGUGGUGUUUCAUCUAUAAAAGCAGACUGGAGACACAUCGAUAUGAGAUGCAAAUGCCAGUCAGCUAAAGAGCACCCAGAUACUGUCUGGUUAUUAAACUUAUGUUAAUAUCAGGUGUAAUGAGAGCUUUGAAUGUACUACUGUUUGUUAUCCUGCCGUUUAACACUGGUAUUUGUAUAUAGUUUAAAUCAAAGGAAACCUUUUUUGUACAUAUUCAGUUCUCUGAAUAAGAAUAAUUUAACAGCUAUCUUAAAUGUAAAAAAAAAAUAAACUAAAACUUUAAUAGCACAUGCAGUUUCUUUCUUCUUCAAUAAAACUUAUUUAAAAAUAUAAAUUUGAAAAUAGGAAAAAUAUGUAAAUUCUGGCAAAAUAUUGAGUAACUGUGUGUAUACACACACGCACACACAUAUAUAUGUGAUUACAAAUGUUUGAAUGCUAAAAGACUUUGCUAUGUUUAUGGAACAAAGCCAAAUGUUUAGGCAGCAUUUGAGAGAGAUUGUUUGCAGAGUUUUGUCACAUGCUGCUUUAGUGUAAUUAAUAAGAUCUUCUUUUGUUCUUUAUGAGAUUCAUUUUCAGAAACCAACAUCUGAGAAAGCAUUUCAACUCUUAGCAAAGUUUUCCUAUUCCUGUAUAUUUGUUUUUCAAUCCAAAAUAUACAAGUACUUUUACAGUUUUUAGCUGUAGCUGCAGGAUGAUGGGAAUGUCCUUAAAAUGUAAAAAGGCAGAAUUACAAAUCUCAAUGAAUAUGUACAACAUUACUUUGCAGCCGUGAAAUGUAUGAGCUGGCAGUCGGUCCGAACAAAAAGCAGACCAAAGUCUUUUAAGAGUUUCCUCCGUUCAUCUGUACAGCACAGGCCCCAGAUUCCAGUCUAGUUGGUAAUCUUUAGAACAAAAACAUAUCUCAGUCUAAAAUAAUAUCCACAAGGACGUCAUAAACCUCUAUCAGUUGUUGAUUUGCUCACUUGGUGACUUGGGCAAGACAUGACAUGAAGAAAUAUUGUAAGAGGAAACACUUUCUAACAUAAAGUAUGCGUGACGUUGGGUCUGUCCAACCACACUGGAUAUGAAGGUACCAGAUACUGUCUGUAUAUGAAACUUGUGUUUAUAUGUGUUACUGGGUGUGAUCUUGUCUUUCCAUUUGUACAUUUUUCAAAAGGAAAUGCCCUGUAAGAGUCCAAAUUACUUUAAAAUCAUAGUAAUGAUCAGAUGACAAAUACAUUUGGAUUACUUUUGCCAUCAUUUGUUUAUAGAUUUGGGAUUAAUUGAAAUGUGAUUAAGGUUAUAAAGAAAAAACUGUAUGACCAUUAAUUGACAUAAGAGAGCAUGCAAAUGGACUGUUAAAUUAUUGAAAUAUUAACUUUAGGUAAGUAUAUUUUAGUUUUAACUGACAAAAAGCAACACAUCCUGCAUCACAUGACAACAUUUAAGAAGAGUGAGAAAGAAAAGAGAAUUAGGGAGAAUCAAUAAAUUAUUAAUAAUUUACUGUCAUUGUUUGAAUAAAUUGUAAUUAUGUAAUCCAGAAAAGUGAUUGUAAUCUGAUUGAACAUUUUAAUCUAAUUACAUAAUCCAGAUUACAUGUAAUAUGUUACUAUCCAGUACUGCCUGUAAAUUUACAGGUACAUGUUUGUUUGUUUUUUUAAACCGUGAAUUCAUUGAUUUCUGUUUGAUGGGUUGCUUUUGUAAAUUUAAAUUUCAACCGUUGUAAGAAAACCUUAUACAGCUGAAAAUAUAAACAUAAAUAUUGUACGUGCAACAUCAGCUAAAUGUCUAAAAUGACUAAAGUGUUUUUAAAGCUGCAGCCACCAAUCUGAGGUGCAUUUUCCCUAAAGCAUUGUUAGAUAAUUAUGAUUGUAAGUUCUAUUGAACUCUGCUGUUAACGAAGGAACAUGCGACCAUAGUUGCUUUUGAUAAAAGUAUGUAUUUAUUCAUACAGUGUAGACUAUCCAGUGUUAAACAUCCAUAUUGAAACUGUUUAUAUAGACCUGCA
rnacentral:lncRNA from 1 species